GCCUGCUCCCUGAGACCUCAAGUGUGAGCGUACUGUAGAUGCUUCACACCUGGGCUCUCUGGGUACCAGG
rnacentral:pre_miRNA from 14 species